GUGUCAGCUUGGAUGGGCCAUAGUGCCCGGCCAUCUGCUCCAACGUUGUUCGUUCGGGAUGUUUCUCUGAGGGUGUUUUUUCGUUGUUAUUGUUGUUUUUUUUUUUUUUGGUUUUUGUUGUUGUUGUUGUUGUUUUUGGUAUGAGAUUGGUAUUUAAAUUGGUGGACUUUGAGUCAAACACAUCAUCCUCCCUAAUGUGGUUGGGCGUCACCCAAUCAGUUAAAGGCCUGAACAAAGACUAACCUCCCUUCCCCAAGCAAGAAGGGGUUCUGCCAGCAGAUGAUUCUCAGACCCGAACCACAACAUGAGCUGUACCUUCAGUCUUCAGCCUGCUGGCCCCAUCCUGCAGAGUUUGGACCUGCCAGACUCCAUAAUCCUGUGAUCACUGUUUCUCUGGUGACUCCUGACUAAUAUGCGCAUCAGAAAAAAUUAUAGCCUAUGUGAUGCAGACUCGCUGGAGGCUUAGAAGAGCAAUACUGGAGGUUACUGAGGUAGCCCAGCAUGUUGGUGCCCGCCACGAAUAACAAGCUCCUCAAAAUUUAGCAGCUCGAACAACAACAAACGUGAUCUCAGUUUCUGCGCAUCAGCAAUGCGGAAGUGGCUCAGCUGGGUGGUUCCGGCUCAGGGUCUCUCAUAAGGUUCCAGUUAAGAUGUACGCUGGGACUGUGGUCAUCUGAAAGCUCGCCUGGUGACGGAGGAUCCAUGUCUAAGAUGGCACACGCACAUGGCUGGUGAGUCACUGCUGGCUGUAAGGCGAAGGCUCCCCAGCUUGGCAGCUGGGUUCCUUCUGAGCAGGUGGCCCAAAAGAGGAUGGGUCACACGUGGUCCUUUCUGCCAUUUUGUUGGCCACACAGCACCUCCCCCCUUCAAUGUGGGAGGAACUAUAAGGGCAUGAGCACCCGUUGGCCAGGGUCUUAGGGGACCAUCCUGGGGGUUGGUCCCUGUACCCCAUCUCCUUGUCGGGGUGCAGGAAGCCUCUCACUUACCUGAUAUUGUACAGGGAAUUUUUUCCUGGAACCAGAGAAGAAUAAGAACGUGAGCAAGAAGAAAGAACAUCUGUUUUCUCAGGAGAAGACUAUUUCCGUGAUUCUAAUCUGCUGGCUGCCAAUUUUUUUUAAAAAAGCAGUCCAUUUCCAGA